rnacentral:rRNA from 1 species
UACAGAGGUGGCGAGCGUUAUUCGGAAUUAUUGGGCGUAAAGGGCGCGUAGGCGGUUUGUACAGUCAGGUGUGAAAUUCCCGGGCUCAACCUGGGGGCUGCACUUGAUACGUAUGGACUGGAGUGGGGAAGAGGGUCGUGGAAUUCCCAGUGUAGAGGUGAAAUUCGUAGAUAUUGGGAAGAACACCGGUGGCGAAGGCGGCGACCUGGUCCUUGACUGACGCUGAGGCGCGAAAGCGUGGGGAGCAAACAGG